rnacentral:rRNA from 1 species
AGAGUUUGAUUAUGGCUCAGGACGAACGCUGGCGGCGUGCUUAACACAUGCAAGUCGAGCGAAGUUAUUCCUUCGGGGAUAACUUAGCGGCGGACGGGUGAGUAACACGUGGGUAACCUGCCUCAUAGAGGGGGAUAGCCUUCCGAAAGGAAGAUUAAUACCCCAUAACAUAGCAUUAUCGCAUGAUAAAGUUAUUAAAGGAGUAAUCCGCUAUGAGAUGGACCCGCGGCGCAUUAGCUAGUUGGUGAGGUAACGGCUCACCAAGGCCACGAUGCGUAGCCGACCUGAGAGGGUGAUCGGCCACAUUGGGACUGAGACACGGCCCAGACUCCUACGGGAGGCAGCAGUGGGGAAUAUUGCACAAUGGGCGAAAGCCUGAUGCAGCAACGCCGCGUGAGUGAUGAAGGCCUUCGGGUCGUAAAGCUCUGUCUUCGGGGGCGAUAAUGACGGUACCCGAGGAGGAAGCCACGGCUAACUACGUGCCAGCAGCCGCGGUAAUACGUAGGUGGCAAGCGUUGUCCGGAUUUACUGGGCGUUAAAGGGAGCGUAGGCGGAUACUUAAGUGGGAUGUGAAAUACCCGGGCUCAACCCGGGUGCUGCAUUCCAAACUGGGUAUCUAGAGUGUGGGAGAGGAAA